UACGUAGGGUGCGAGCGUUGUCCGGAAUUAUUGGGCGUAAAGGGCUCGUAGGCGGUUUGUCGCGUCGGGAGUGAAAACCUCGGGCUUAACUCAGGGCUUGCUUUCGAUACGGGCAGACUAGAGGUAUGCAGGGGAGAACGGAAUUCCUGGUGUAGCGGUGAAAUGCGCAGAUAUCAGGAGGAACACCGGUGGCGAAGGCGGUUCUCUGGGCAUGAUCUGACGCUGAGGAGCGAAAGUGUGGGGAGCGAACAGG
rnacentral:rRNA from 1 species